rnacentral:rRNA from 1 species
UACAGAGGGUGCAAGCGUUAAUCGGAAUUACUGGGCGUAAAGGGCGCGUAGGUGGGUAGAUAAGUCAGAUGUGAAAGCCCUGGGCUUAACCUAGGAACUGCAUUUGAUACUGUUUAUCUAGAGUGAAGUAGAGGGUAGUGGAAUUUCCGGUGUAGCGGUGAAAUGCGUAGAUAUCGGAAGGAACACCAGUGGCGAAGGCGACUACCUGGACUUCAACUGACACUGAGGCGCGAAAGCGUGGGGAGCGAACAGG